rnacentral:rRNA from 1 species
UGGGGAAUAUUGGACAAUGGGCGAAAGCCUGAUCCAGCCAUGCCGCGUGUGUGAAGAAGGUCUUCGGUUUGUAAAGCACUUUAAGUUGGGAGGAAGGGCAGUAAGCGAAUACCUUGCUGUUUUGACGUUACCGACAGAAUAAGCACCGGCUAACUCUGUGCCAGCAGCCGCGGUAAUACAGAGGGUGCAAGCGUUAAUCGGAAUUAAUGGGCGUAAAGCGCGCGUAGGUGGUUCGUUAAGUUGAAUGUGAAAGCCCCGGGCUCAACCUGGGAACUGCAUCCAAAGCUGGCGAGCUAGAGUAGGGCAGAGGGUGGUGGAAUUUCCUGUGUGGCGGUGAGAUGCGUGUAUAUAGGAAGGAACACCAGUGGCGAGGGCGACCACCUGGGCUCAUACUGACACUGAGUUGCGAAAGAGUGGGGAGCAAACAGG